UUUACAAUGGAGAGUUUGAUCCUGGCUCAGGAUGAACGCUGGCGGUAUGCUUAACACAUGCAAGUCGAACGGGCUCUUCGGAGCUAGUGGCGG
rnacentral:rRNA from 2 species